AAAAAACAAGGUUAACAAA
rnacentral:sRNA from 1 species